rnacentral:rRNA from 1 species
UACGUAGGGUGCGAGCGUUGUCCGGAAUUAUUGGGCGUAAAGAGCUCGUAGGCGGUUCCGUAAGUCGAGUGUGAAAAAUCUGGGCUCAACCCAGUGGAGCACUCGAUACUGCGGUGACUGGAGUACGGUAGAGGAGUGUGGAAUUCCUGGUGUAGCGGUGAAAUGCGCAGAUAUCAGGAGGAACACCCGUGGCUAAGGCGGCUCUCUAGUACGUGACUGACGCUGAGACGCGAAAGCGUGGGGAGCGAACAGG